GUUGAACGCUGGCGGCAUGCCUAACACAUGCAAGUCGAACGAGUGGCGGACGGGCGGGUAGUGUCUUGGAAAGUGCCUGAUGUAGGCGGCAGACGAGUGGAAACGUUAGCUAAUACCGCAUACGUUGCGUUGUGGCCUGAUGGGAUUAGCUAGUUGGUGGGGUAACGGCUCACCAAGGCGACGAUCCCUAGCUGGUCUGAGAGGAUGACCAGCCACACUGGAACUGAGACACGGCCCAGACUCCUACGGGAGGCAGCAGUGGGGAAUAUUGCACAAUGGGCGCAAGCCUGAUGCAGCCAUGCCGCGUGUAUGAAGAAGGCCUUCGGGUUGUAAAGUACUUUCAGCGGGGAGGCGUUACCCGCAGAAGAAGCACCGGCUAACUCCGUGCCAGCCGCCGCGGUAAUAC
rnacentral:rRNA from 1 species